GCCACUUGCGAAACGAAACUACGCGAGAACAGAGAAGGAAGCCCCGACGGAGAGAGAGAGAGACAGUGAGUUCAGAGGAUGCCGGAACUCCCGGAGGUGGAGGUGGCUCGGCGGGCGAUCGAGGAGCACUGCGUCGGGAAGAAGAUCACCGAAUGUUCGGUGGCCGACGAUCCGAAGGUCAUCGAUGGCGUCUCCCGUGCUGACUUUGAGUCCGCCCUAGUCGGUAGGAGCAUCGUCGCCGCUCUCCGCAAGGGGAAGAACCUGUGGCUCCGCCUUGACUCCCCGCCCUUUCCCACCUUCCACUUCGGGAUGGCAGGUGCGGUCUAUAUCAAGGGCGUGGCCUUGACCAAGUACAGAAGGGCUGCGGUGAACGAUACAGAUGAAUGGCCUUCGAAAUACUCGAAGGUGUUUGUCAAACUAGAUGAUGGGCUGGAGUUUUCUUUUACUGAUAAGAGGCGUUUUGCCCGAGUUCGCUUGCUUGAUGAUCCAGAAUCUGUACCUCCAAUUUCUGAGCUAGGGCCAGAUGCCCUGUUAGAGCUUAUGCCAGUUGAUGACUUUGUGGACUCACUAAGCAAAAAGAAGAUUGCAAUAAAGACUCUCUUACUUGAUCAGAGUUAUAUUUCAGGUAUCGGUAACUGGAUAGUAGAUGAGGUGCUUUACCAGGCGAAGCUUCAUCCCCUUCAAAUUGCUUCAAGCUUGUCAAAAGAGAGUUGCAAGUCAUUGCACAGAUGCAUCAGAGAGGUAAUAGACAAGGCCCUGGAAGUUGGAGCUGAUAGUAGUCAGUUCCCCAAAGAUUGGAUUUUUCAUUCUCGUGAAAAGAAAUCUGGGAAGGCCUUUGUAAAUGGUUUGUUUUCUGACUAUAAAUUGAAUGCAUCUACUUCAACUUCAAAGAUUGGUUUCUCUAAAGCAUUAGGCUUUUAUUUCAAUUUAUUGAUAUUUGUAGUCAUCAAGUAUCUGUAAUCAGCACUCUCCUGAAUUUCAGUUCUUUAUUUGGACCACAUUGUAACUGUAAUCACCUUCCAAUUUUUGUUUGAACUUUAGAGUAGAUCCGUGCUCACUAAAACCAAGGUUUUUGUUCCAUCAAAUGGAAGCUAUGACAGUUUUCUGAUUGCUGUUCAAUAAACUAACUGUAGGUCUGAUAAUAUUCAUGUUUAGAGAGUGGUUAUAUAUAGCUUUAUUUUGCUUAAUUUAUUUUGGCUAUGUUUGAGAAUUCUAAUGUGGCUUUAAAUUGUCAUAUUUUGGGCAAUGCCAAUAGUUUAACAAUAGAGGAUUUGUUUGCGGUUUAUUUAGGUUUUACAAAGAUAUCGCAAACUUUGUUUUGCCCAUUUAUUCGCCCAAAUUUCCAAUAAUGAGGAUAGCAAUAUGCUUUCCAAAUUUAAAAUAGUGUUAUAAAUUAAUGGAAUCAUGGAGCAAUUCACAUAGCUAAUUAAGCCUUUGGUGUCUCCUACAUUGUAAACAUGAGUGCAACUCUUCCCAACUCUCUGAAAUUAGUUGCUACCAAUGAAUUUCUGAUGUACUGAUGGUAGAAUAUUGAUUGGCAUGUUACUCGAAUUGUGGCUAGUGGAAUUAGACCUCAGGAGAUGUGCGAUAAUGGACUGAUUUUGUGAAAUGGUGGAGAAGGAUUUUCCUUGAGAUGCAGGAACUAGGAGAUCAUGCGGAUAAUGUUACUGCGUGUGAUGAAAGAAGAAAAAGAAUUUGUCAUCUGAUUAUUUUCAUACAUCAGUGGCAAAUUUAAUGACCUAUUGGGAAGAAGAUCAAUUUCAUCACAGUAGGUGGCAGAACUUCAGCAUACGUGCCGGAGUUGCAGAAGGUAACCGGAAAUCAGUCAAAAGAGGCUCCGAAAAAGAAGUCAAGAAAAGCCAGGUCCGAUGUGGAAGAAUCAGAA